rnacentral:rRNA from 1 species
GGGGGGAGUAAACCUUCCCGAAAAGGAAGGGCUAAUACCGCAUAAGACCACGGCCUCGAAAGGGGCUGCGGUCAAAGCAGGCCUCUUCAUGAAAGCUUGCACCUGAGGAUCAGCCCGCGGCCCAUCAGCUAGUUGGUAGGGUAACGGCCUACCAAGGCUAAGACGGGUAGCUGGUCUGAAAGGAUGAUCAGCCACGCUGGAACUGAGACACGGUCCAG